CUACGGGUUGCUGCAGUGGGGAAUAUUGCACAAUGGGCGCAAGCCUGAUGCAGCAACGCCGCGUGGGGGACGAAGGCCUUCGGGUUGUAAACCUCUUUUAGUAGGGAAGAAGCGCAAGUGACGGUACCUACAGAAAAAGCACCGGCUAACUACGUGCCAGCAGCCGCGGUAAUACGUAGGGUGCAAGCGUUGUCCGGAAUUAUUGGGCGUAAAGAGCUCGUAGGCGGUUUGUCGCGUCUGCUGUGAAAAUCCGAGGCUCAACCUCGGACCUGCAGUGGGUACGGGCAAACUAGAGUGCGGUAGGGGAGAUUGGAAUUCCUGGUGUAGCGGUGGAAUGCGCAGAUAUCAGGAGGAACACCAAUGGCGAAGGCAGAUCUCUGGGCCGUAACUGACGCUGAGGAGCGAAAGCGUGGGGAGCGAACAGGAUUAGAUACCCUCGUAGUC
rnacentral:rRNA from 1 species